UUAGAAUAGGUUACAUGAAAUGAGAGCUGUAAUUUAAAAUGUCUAUAUGAUUUGGGACUCAGAAUUAUGGAUCAUUCACACAUAAAAUACUCUCUGUCUUUCACAAGACCAUUUCCAAAACAAUAACAAACUUAUAUAUCAAAAUGUGACAGCAGUGUUAUUAGAUUCCUCGCGGUACUCCAAGUCGCUCGAUCCAACAUUGUUCUUCUAUUGCUAGGUUUCCUUCCAUUUCUAUUGACUAUAAGUUGCUUCACCAUCUGACAUUGACCAAUAAAUUUAGAAUCUAUAAAUUAAUGACAGUCCAAUAAAGAUAAUAUGUAGAUUUCUACUUCAAUAAUUCAAUCAAUAAUUCUUAUUUUUUCAUUGUGUUUUCCCCUCUCAUGUUGACCGAAGUUCAUGUCAUUCUGAAUAGAGAAUGAAAUACGUUUGCACCUUUAGGUUAGAGUUAAAUUUGUAUUCAGAGUUUGGACUUUUAGGUUACAAGUUGAAACACUUUGCAGUCUGUUCAGAGUUUGCACCUUUAGGUUAGAGUUUGAACACUUUGCAGUCUGUUCAGAGUUUGCACCUUUAAGUCUCAAUAUACCUGGCGAAUUGCCAAUACGAAGCUAAUGUGACCAGGGUUAAAAUGUAAAUAUGUUAAAAGAGUAUUUUAUAGAAUUUAAAUAGUUUCAUUGUUAUUGAUAUCUGUAUUAAUAUAGGGAGGUGACCAUUCUACAUUGAUCCAGUGCCUUUUUAUGGGAUUCGAAACUGUGACUGUGAGAUGUAUGAGAGUUUGACUUCUAGGCGGGCAAUUCUACUUUCACUUUAAACGGAUGGCAGGUGCCUGAGUGUAUCUCGACCCAUUUCCAGGCUAGCAUCAGAUGUCAUGAUGGACCUUUAAAAUCUUUCACAUGUGUGCUUUCAAGAACCAUAUACAUUAUUUUUGAAAAUUGGUUGCCAUGGUAAUAAAAUCUGAAAAUUAAAA